GCCUACGGGGGGCAGCAGUGGGGGAUAUUGCACAAUGGGGGAAACCCUGAUGCAGCGACGCCGCGUGGGUGAAGAAGCGCCUCGGCGCGUAAAGCCCUGUCAGCAGGGAAGAAAAUGACGGUACCUGAAGAAGAAGCCCCGGCUAACUACGUGCCAGCAGCCGCGGUAAUACGUAGGUGGCAAGCGUUGUCCUGAUUUACUGGGUGUAAAGGGCGUGCAGCCGGGAAGAAAAGUCAGAUGUGAAAUCCCGCGGCUCAACCGCGGAACUGCAUUUGAAACUGUUGUUCUUGAGUACCGGAGAGGUC
rnacentral:rRNA from 1 species